rnacentral:rRNA from 1 species
UACGUAGGGGGCAAGCGUUGUCCGGAAUUAUUGGGCGUAAAGAGCGUGUAGGCGGUCCGGUAAGUCAGCUGUGAAAGUCAAGGGCUCAACCCUUGAAAGCCGGUUGAUACUGUCGGGCUAGAGUCCGGAAGAGGCGAGUGGAAUUCCUGGUGUAGCGGUGGAAUGCGCAGAUAUCAGGAGGAACACCAACGGCGAAGGCAGCUCGCUGGGACGGUACUGACGCUGAGGCGCGAAAGCGUGGGGAGCGAACAGG